GAUGAACGCUGGCGGCGUGCUUAACACAUGCAAGUCGAGCGAAAAUAAUUGAGAGCUUGCUUUUGAUUAUUUUAGCGGCGGACGGGUGAGUAACGUGUGGGCAACCUGCCUUUUACUGUGGAAUAAUCGUUGGAAACGACGACUAAUACCGCAUACGAUUUUCUGAAGGCAUCUUUGGGAAAAGAAAGGAAAUAUUCGGUAAAAGAUGGGCCCGCAUCUGAUUAGCUAGUUGGUGAGAUAAUAGCCCACCAAGGCAACGAUCAGUAGCCGACCUGAGAGGGUGACCGGCCACAUUGGGACUGAGACACGGCCCAA
rnacentral:rRNA from 1 species